rnacentral:lncRNA from 1 species
AAAUUACUUGUAACAGAACUCACCGUGGGUUACUCAACUUUGCUCUGUGAAAAUGCACGGUUGCCUGUUGCAUAAGGAUUGUAGAGAUGUAAGCCCACAGUGACUGUGUCUGUGCUCAUCGCCACCUCGAAGUUGCCAAGGGAGCUUCCCCUUUUCGGCCGUCAUGUCCGACAGGAAAAUACCAAGCUCCACCGGCGCUCUCAUUUGUCGCAAGGGUUUAAAGGGUUUCAAUUAUUGAAUGAGCAGAAGAAAAUUUAUUGAAAGAGAGAGUGUAAUUAUCAGAAAUUGGUUAGGCAUGGAAUGUUUAAUAUUCUUUUCUUAAAUCUUAAAUCAUUUUGGGUAUUUGGGUGCUUGUGAAUUUUAUUUUCUUGUAAUGAAUUUAUGAAUAUUUUUACUUGGGAUUUGUCUCGGUGAAAAGUUUAUUUUAUUUUAUUUAUUUGUGGAUAAAUGAAGUUGAUGUUUUUGGUAUUAUAAAACUAGGUUGUUUGUAGGCGUUGUAAGAAUAUUGACAUAUUAUGCCAUGUUUGUCAAUCUAAAUAAAAUAUAAGAAAACCCGUUUGCUUGUUCUCAUGUAGCUUUGAGAUUUGUGAGUCACUUUGUAGUGGGUUGCAACAUGGUUUGUCGUUGAAAAUGAAUUGGCUGUAAAGGGUGAAAUGAUGCUGAAGAUAAGUUGAAAUUGAAUUCAUUAAAGUGGUUUGAGCACUAAGGUAAUCAUCCACACUGUAAUACUUUUUUAAUAUGCAUAAAAAAGAAAGAAAUAUGAAGUUUUAUAUACAGGUUUACUUGUUUUAGGUGGCUGAAACUUUGUUUAGAUGCCAUCUUUUUCCUUUCAACUGGCAAAUAUUGACAAUGCUGAGUACUACACAUGGUUAAUUAGGGAUAUAGAGUUUGUUAGUUUGGUCAUUGAAGUAUAGAUUGAAAAAAUGCAUAAUAUAUAUGUUUCAACAUUUAACCACUUUUCAAUGAGGUAGCUACUUUACUUGCUAGUUCAAUUUUUAUGGGAUUGGUGUUUUUUCUGUUUGACAUGCAUUAUACAUUUAUCAAUUUUACCAAGAUAAGAGUUGCAUAAAUCUGUUGAAAUAUUUCAUUCGAGGAUCGGUUUAAGAGUGUUUUUCUGCAGAACUUAGAAAAUGUAUUCUUGAAUGCUCUGUAUUCGGGCUUUAUAAUUUGUUAAAAUUUUGAAAAAAGAGGGCAAUCAUUUAUUUACAGAUUGAAAGCGAAAACGACUUGAUCCCCAUCCCUGACGUCCCCCCAUCGCAGUGAUAUGGACCUAUAAAGUGCAUCUCAGUACAUUGAUUGAGUUGUUAUCUAACCCCUUAAUUGAGUUGAUUGAUUGUCUGGGUAUUUUUAAUUUUUUUUUGUUAUUAGUGGAAUUUUGAUUUAUUGGAAUGCAAAAAUGAUGAUUUUUCAAUUUUUUUUUUUUUUUUCUAGGGGAUUGGUUGUGAGCAUAAUCAAAUUACUUAGCUAAAUCAAAGAGAUGGCUACUAUUGGUUAGCUGGGAACUAUUUUUAUCUGACUGACCUCUAAGCUGAUAAUUCUAAUCCAUUAUGAUUUAUUGGUUUUAUCUGCAUGUGGAUUAUUGCAUUGAAGCAUCAGUUAGUUGCUGUAGAUUAGUUUUCUACCAAGUAUUAUGUACUUCAGUAAAAUUCUGAGGGUGAUAAUUGUUAAAUCUCGCUUAAAUUCCAUUCAUGUGAGCAAGAUACAAUUUUGUUCUAAUUUUCUUCUAAACUUUUAUAUGGUGGAAAUCUUCUUAGAAUUAAGAUUGUUGUGCAUUCUUCUUGUAUUUGCUCAGUUGAUGAAUUUCACAGAGUUGCCUGUAUUCAUUGUUGUGUGAAGACAUCAUGUAUGGUUUGCUAUCGUGUCUUGCUUGAUUCUACUUCAUGUGAACUCAUCUCCCACAUUCUGAGCACUGCUAUAUUGUUUUCCGAAAGUUAUUGAGCAUUUUGCAAAUCAAGUUUAUUACAAUUGCUUCUUAUAUAGACGAAGUGUAAUAACUUACAACUGGUACUAAGACUACUUUAUAUCCCUUAUCCCACUAGAAAGAAGGCCCUUAUGUUCCUAAAUUAUAUGUUCUCCUAUUACAUAUUACAAGCUAGGAUAAAGCAAUGAUACAAGCUAAUCAGGUACGAUGCAACCAAAAAUUUCAAUUUUAAAUUUAUUCUUGUUAUUUUACAUUGAAAUAGAAUUAGAAUGAGAAUCCUUCAGUGUCAAAUGGGAAGUUUGAAACAAAUUUUGCAGGAUCAAAAGGGAAUUGGCGGCUAAAUUGCUGGCUGAUUGUAACAUAGCUCAGGGAGAUCAAAUUCUGAUUGCUGCAGAUUAUGAACAUCUCCAAAGUUCAUCUGGUAUUGUGAAAUGUAAUAAAAGUUUGAUUUAGCUGUGGCAUGAGGCAUAAAUGAUGAGGAUUAGUGGCUGAAUUGGUGACUAAUUGUAGCUUAGGGAGAUUAGAUUCUGAUUGUAGCUCAGGGAGAUCAGAUUCUGAUUGCUGCAGAUUAUGAACAUCUCCAAAGUUCAUCUGGUAUUAUGAAAUGUAAUAAAAGUUUGAUUCAGCUGCGGCAUGAGGCAUAAAUGAUGAGGAGAAACCACCCAAGAAAUUAUUCUCAUCAAGCAUCGAAGACGAAAAGCAAUGGUCAUUGCUAUGUGUGUGUUCAAAUGAUGUCGUCAGAAAAGAUAGAAGAGAUGCAAUCUCUUUAUUGUCCAAGUACUCAUUAUUAACACCUGAGCCUUUUUUAUGAUUGUUACUAUGGUGGCUUAGUUUUUGUUCAUGUUUUUAUCGCGAUGUUGGUUGUGGAAUCGAUUGGCUGCCACUGAAACAAAUGUGUUCCUCUGUAUGUGACCUCAAAUAUGAAGGGGUCUUCAUCUGAUCUUUGCAAUUGCUUUUUAACCCAAUAGUUUUGUGUAUUUUUGUAGGUGUAUCUGUAAUAGCUUCUGCAAAUCCAAAUUAAUAAUAAUAAUAAUAAAAGCUCAUAAUCAGACUUAUCAAUAAGAAAAACUCGUCAAUUAAAAAAAUUAAAUGUGAUAAGAGGAAAUACUUUUCACCUGGGAUAUUUGGCCCCAAGGAUAUCUUUCUAGCCAUAUCUUCUCCAUCUAUAUCUAUCUGCAAGGGGUCCUUCAAGGCCACUCUCAAAGUCAACUUUAUCUGUCCGUCUUGGCAAUGUCUUUAUGCA